CAGGAGAGGAGGCAAGAUGCUGGCAUAGCUGCUGACGCUGGCUCCCGGCUGUGCCAGCAACCUGCCCUCUUUCUGCCU
rnacentral:pre_miRNA from 1 species